CCAGUCAUGAACGGAUUGCAGAGAUGCGAUCUUCUCUUCGGAGCCGGGAACACAGGUGCUGCAUGGCUGUCGUCAGCUCGUGUCGUGAGAUGUUGGGUUAAGUCCCGCAACGAGCGCAACCCUCGCCCCUAGUUGCCAUCAUUGAGUUGGGCACUCUAGGGGGACUGCCGGCGAUAAGCCGAGAGGAAGGUGGGGAUGACGUCAAGUCCUCAUGGCCCUUACGGGCUGGGCUACACACGUGCUACAAUGGCGGUGACAGUGGGAAGCGAAGGGGCGACCUGGAGCCAAUCCCCAAAAGCCGUCUCAGUUCGGAUUGCACUCUGCAACUCGAGUGCAUGAAGGCGGAAUCGCUAGUAAUCGUGGAUCAGCAUGCCACGGUGAAUACGUUCCCGGGUCUUGUACACACCGAA
rnacentral:rRNA from 1 species